rnacentral:rRNA from 1 species
UACGAGCGCACCCUUGUCCUUAGUUGCCAGCGGUUCGGGCGGGAACUCUAAGGAGACUGCCGGUGAUAAACCGGAGGAAGGUGGGGAUGACGUCAAGUCAUCAUGGCCCUUAUGGGCAGGGCUACACACGUGCUACAAUGGCCGGUACAGAGGGGCGCGAACCCGCGAAGGGAAGCAAAUCUCAGAAAACCGGUCCUAGUCCGGAUUGGAGUCUGCAACUCGACUCGCAUGAAGUCGGAAUCGCUAGUAAUCGCGGAUCAGAAUGCCGCGGUGAAUACGUUCCCGGGCCUUGUACACACCGCCCGUCACACCAUGGGAGUGGGUUGCACCAGAAGUAGGUAGUCUAACCUUCGGGAGGACGCUUACCACGGUGUGGUUCAUGACUGGGGUGAAGUCGUAACAAGGUAGCCCUAGGGGAACCUGGGGCUGGAUCA